GCCGAGCAACACCAGAACAAAGUUCAGGGCCUGCUGCAGUCUUGCGAGCUGCACACGGCACAACCGAACAGAUAUUGCGAUAGUACGAGGCUUGUAUAACGAUAGAUCCAGACCUGACCAGGGUUAGUUUAUUGAUGCGACACGUGCAUCUGCCAGUCCUGCACUCCACCUCCCAUUCUUCAGCUCCGUCUUCGUCGUUCUACACAGUGUCUGUACCUCUUGCUUCUGCAUCUGAAUCCCCAGCGGCCAGCGCUGCUCAGGUUCAUGGAGGUCAAGAGGAAGGAUGUAUGGGGACUGCUGCUCGUGCUACUCCUCGGCCAGCUUGUCGCCUUCACCUUGGCUGCGUCAAGCUUCAGCUCCUCCCUAAUUGCUAAUCUUGGUACCCGAUUUCCUCAAUUUUCUCAUCGGGCUGACCCCGUAUACGCUGAAUUACUGGUUCUGUUUGAUGGAAUCCUUCAUAACCAAUAUUAUGUCGAUAGAGAGCAUCAAUUCGUUCCCAUAAACAUAUCUAUGCAGGAGUUGAUGCACCACUCACGCAAUCUUUCUUCACGUACCUUUUGCUGAUCUCAGUUUAUGUGCCAAUUGUCCUGUAUCGACGGCGGAAGCUGCAAGUUGCUUGGUAUUGGUAUCUGGCCCUGGCCUUCAUCGAUGUACAGGGGAACUAUCUUUGUGAGUACUGAGUACAAGGAUCACAGCAUUUACAAAGAAUCCAUGCCACCGAUAACUUUCAGUGAGAUGCUUUUCUAUGCAGAAGAUGAGCAUCUAAACAUAUUGUCAUCCUGAAAAUUAUGAUGCUGUUGUCAAGGCCUACCAAUACUCGUACAUCACCAGCGUAACUUUGCUGGACUGUUGGACUAUUGUACUCAUCAUACUCACCUGGUACGCUCUGGGCACAAGAUAUUCUUUCUGGCAGUUUGUGGGGGCAGGGACAUGUGUGGCAGGACUUGUGCUCCUUUCAAAUGCAAAAGCUACAGAUGAGCAAGGUAAUUAGGUAACUACUUAUAACAUAAUGGCAGUACCAAGAACAAAUCUCCUACGGUAAUGCUAAGCUCCUAACGUCCGACGCCAGCAAAAUAUCGGACGCGACGUGGCUCUUUACCGUCCACGUGAAUCUUAUCCCUUCACAUAUUUAUCCCCAUGAUCUUAUUCACCGAACAAGAUAGUCCUCCAACAGCUCUCUCUCUCUCCACACACAGCAAGUUCCCGGUGGCCUCGUCCCCCACCCCAACGGCGACGCGCUCCCCCACCACGGCGUCCUCCUCGUCCACCCCGGCGGCGGCGCACUCCUCCACUCCGGGAACCUCGUUCCCCACCCUGGCGGCGCCCCUCCCCCAACUCCGACGUCCUCAACCAACCGGGAGCACCCAACGCCCCGGAUCUGUUUUGCAACAGUCUGACCUGCCAACAAUCGGGUGUUGCACCAACUUGUUCAUGAUGUUGCAUAUAGUUGUUUUCUUUGUUUCGUCUCUUCUUCUUUCGUUGUUGUAAUGUUGUAAGAGAUAUUUUUUUUUGUUGCAAUGUGUCUGUUUUGAAUGUUGCACGAAGCAAUUCGGGAUGUUUCAUGCACAUAAAGGUGUUGCAAUCCUCGGUGUUGCAAGCGUUGAUUUUUGAUGUUUCGAUAGUUAUUUUUCAAUGUUGCGACGGAGCGUCCGAUAAAAUAAAAUUAUCGGACGUCCGGGCGCUAGCACUUCUGAAUCUCCUAUACCGGAAUCAUUUCAAGAGCAUGGAAAUUUGAAUGUUGGUUACACAGGAAAUUUUAUGGUAGUUGUACUACUGUUCUUAGUGUCUCCAAUUCUCCAUUGCCAUAUGAACAAUCCAGGAUACCAAUUUAGUGGUAGCUAUGAUGGCAAUUGAACCAAUAUUGAAUGCAACUUGACUUUUUGAGCAUCAUGCAUUGAAAUCUACGUAGUUUCCACAAAAGUAGAUGAAUUUUAAUAUCGCAUGAAAAAAAAAUCAACUUUAUGCAGAUCCAAGAAAAAAUACCACUUCUGGGGGAUGCUCUUGUUAUUGCUGGGACAGUUUGUUAUGCAUUUAGCAAUGUUGGAGAGGUUAGUUAUGGAUUAUAUGUCUGCUGCUAUCAGCAAUAUUUAACCAUAUUUCUAAGAAGCACUUUGUAUUCCUUGUAUGCACAGGAAUACUGCAUCAAAAAGAAAGACCAGCAAGUUGAAGUUGUAGCGAUGCUUGGAUUCUUUGGGUUGCUAGUUAGUACAGUUCAGGUGUAUCCCCUCCGUUGAUUACUUGUUACAGCCAGUGGAGCAAACUGGCAUGAUCCAUUGGCAAAGCCAUCUGCAGAUUUGCUCUCAUUCUUACAUAGUUAAAUUCUCGGCACAAAUGUUUCUGGAAUAAAAUAUGGUAAAUUUAUUAUUCUAGAAAAAAAUCAUGUCACCUUUAACCUGAUAAAUCUUAGAUAUAUAUUUGAAAAGAAGAGCCUAGAAGUCAUUACCUGAUCUCUAACAAUGGUAAGAAAAAUACAUUUUACCAUGAAACUCUUGUAUCUGUCAGUCUGCCACACACCUGACUGAAUUGAUUAACUAGAAGCUCACUCCAGCUUUGGUCUUCUUUGUUCUCCAUUUCCAGAUAGGUCUGUUUGCAGUAUACGCAUUGGCAUUUUCAGUGUUCUACACAGUUACUCCCUAUGUUCUUAAGGUGUUUUCCAUAUGUUGGAAAUGUCGAAUGUUUUUUCAUUUCAGAUAUUUGAAUAAACAAUAAUAAAGCAAAGCUGUUUCAAUAUUAUCAAUUUUUAGUAUCAGCCAGAAGAUGGCCCUCUAAUUGUUAUGUCACAGUUCAACAAUACUUUAGCCUUGAUUCUGACGGCCAUUUUGCAGAAUAGUGGAUCAACAUUAUUCAACCUUUCACUCCUGACAUCUGACAUGUGGGCAAUUGCCAUUCGAGUUGUAUUCUAUCGUCAACAGGCAUGAUCCACAGAUAAACUGGCUGUACUAUCUAGCAUUUGGAGUUGUGGCCAUUGGCUUGAUCAUCUACUCAUUGAAUGAAAGUUCUUUGGACGAUGAAAGAGCUGCAAGCACAGAAGCAGCAGCCCAAUAUCAGCAACUUCAGCGCGAGGAUAAUUCAGAAGGAAGUGGUUCAAAUUCCGGCAUCCAAGAAAGGGCACUUAAGGAAGAAGUUCACAUCUGCUAGGGGGCCCAAUGUACAACUA